rnacentral:rRNA from 1 species
CCAAUAGCGUAUAUUAAAGUUGUUGCAGUUAAAAAGCUCGUAGUUGAAUUUCGGGGUCAGCAGGUUGGUCGUGCCUAUGGUAUGCACUGGCUUUACUGAUUCCUCCUUCUUGAAGAACUGUAAUUUCAUUAAUUUGGUGUUGCAGGGAAACAGGACUGUUACUUUGAAAAAAUUAGAGUGUUUAAAGCAGGCUAACGCUUGAAUACAUUAGCAUGGAAUAAUGAAAUAGGACGUUUGAUCCUAUUUUGUUGGUUUCUAGGAUUGACGUAAUGAUUAAUAGGGAUAGUUGGGGGCAUUAGUAUUCAAUUGUCAGAGGUGAAAUUCUUGGAUUUAUUGAAGACUAACUACUGCGAAAGCAUUUGCCAAGGAUGUUUUCAUUAAUCAAGAACGAAAGUUAGGGGAUCGAAGACGAUCAGAUACCGUCGUAGUCUUAACCAUAAACUAUGCCGACUAGGGAUCGGAUGAUGUUAAUUUUUUAAUGACUCAUUCGGCGCCUUACG